rnacentral:rRNA from 1 species
CCUACGGGAGGCUGCAGUGGGGAAUAUUGGACAAUGGGCGAAAGCCUGAUCCAGCCAUGCCGCGUGUGUGAAGAAGGCCUUCGGGUUGUAAAGCACUUUCAGUGGGGAAGAAAGCCUUGGGGCUAAUACCCUCGAGGAAGGACAUCACCCACAGAAGAAGCACCGGCUAACUCCGUGCCAGCAGCCGCGGUAAUACGGAGGGUGCGAGCGUUAAUCGGAAUUACUGGGCGUAAAGCGCGCGUAGGCGGUCUGAUAAGCCGGUUGUGAAAGCCCCGGGCUCAACCUGGGAACGGCAUCCGGAACUGUCAGGCUAGAGUGCAGGAGAGGAAGGUAGAAUUCCCGGUGUAGCGGUGAAAUGCGUAGAGAUCGGGAGGAAUACCAGAGGCGAAGGCGGCCUUCUGGACUGACACUGACGCUGAGGUGCGAAAGCGUGGGUAGCAAACAGGAUUAGAUACCCGUGUAGUC